rnacentral:rRNA from 1 species
AGAUUGAACGCUGGCGGCAUGCCUUACACAUGCAAGUCGAACGGCAGCACGGGGGCAACCCUGGCGGCGAGUGGCGAACGGGUGAGUAACAUAUCGGAACGUGCCCUGGAGUGGGGGAUAGCUAGUCGAAAGAUUAGCUAAUACCGCAUACGAUCUACGGAUGAAAGUGGGGGAUCGCAAGACCUCAUGCUCGUGGAGCGGCCGAUAUCUGAUUAGCUAGUUGGUGGGGUAAAGGCCUACCAAGGCAUCGAUCAGUAGCUGGUCUGAGAGGACGACCAGCCACACUGGGACUGAGACACGGCCCAGACUCCUACGGGAGGCAGCAGUGGGGAAUUUUGGACAAUGGGCGAAAGCCUGAUCCAGCAAUGCCGCGUGAGUGAAGAAGGCCUGGUGUAAGUAUCUUUGUCUAGGUAAGAAACGGUAAGGAAGUAAGUACUACUGUCUAUAUACGUACGUAGAAGAAUAAGACACCGACUAACUACGUA